UGGAGACAGAGACAGCAGAAAGGAGAUACAGAGACAAAGAGAAAUAGGACAGAGUGUAGGGAGGUAGGUGGAAAGCAGAAACUAGGAGGCAGGGAGGAGUUGGAAGACAGGGUAUCAGUGCUUGUGUUCAGUCUUCUGAAACACACCAGGGAAAACCCUGUGGGGAUUUACAACUGCAACAAUGAACUAUUCAGACAAUUUUGCUACAGAUGCUGAAAAAGCCUCACCAGCUCUAUAGAGAAAUUUGAGGUGCCAAGGAACAUGCUGGGCACAGGAUCAAACAGUGAAUAGGACCCUGUGGCUGCCAGUCUGGUGAUGGAAACAGACUGUUGAAUGAACCUAUCAUGCGUCGGGGACUGUUAGAAGCUGAGGAUACAGAGGUGGGCCAGAUAUGACCUCUGUCUUCAUCGAGCAACUUAAAGAACCUUCUAGUCUUAACUUCCCAUUGAAUAGAUGGAUAAAUUAAGGCCCACAGAGGAGGACCCAUCUAUACAAUAUCUUAUGGUGGAAGGAUGGCAG